rnacentral:rRNA from 1 species
GAGUUUGAUCUUGGCUCAGAUUGAACGCUGGCGGCAGGCCUAACACAUGCAAGUCGAGCGGUAGAGAGAAGCUUGCUUCUCUUGAGAGCGGCGGACGGGUGAGUAAUGCCUAGGAAUCUGCCUGGUAGUGGGGGAUAACGCUCGGAAACGGACGCUAAUACCGCAUACGUCCUACGGGAGAAAGCAGGGGACCUUCGGGCCUUGCGCUAUCAGAUGAGCCUAGGUCGGAUUAGCCAGUUGGUGAGGUAAUGGCUCACCAAGGCGACGAUCCGUAACUGGUCUGAGAGGAUGAUCAGUCACACUGGAACUGAGACACGGUCCAGACUCCUACGGGAGGCAGCAGUGGGGAAUAUUGGACAAUGGGCGAAAGCCUGAUCCAGCCAUGCCGCGUGUGUGAAGGAGGUCUUCGGAUUGUAAAGCACUUUAAGUUGGGAGGAAGGGCAGUAAAUUAUACUUUGCUGUUUUGACGUUUACCGACUAGAAUAAGCACCGGCUAACUCUGUGCCAGCACG